rnacentral:lncRNA from 1 species
AACAGGCUCUAUAUAUAAUUUGUAUCGUAUGUAUACUUAAGUGUCGCCCCCAGGGCACAUCUCCAAGUGGUAAAAUGGGAGGGUGGAGAAAUCCAACUUUGUUUGAGACUGCUGCGUCAAGGGUUCGAAUCCUGAAAUAUGAAUUUGGCUCUUGGGUAAGUGCAAGUGUACAAACAGCCUUCUAUCCUGUACCCUUGGAGGCAUAAUCUGCGAUUUACCUCCCUCACGAUGCUCCAAGGCAGGGGUCGUAGGGGACCCUUAAGGUUAGGGUUUAACUUUUUUUAGUUAGAAAUAGUAGAAAAGAACAUCAGCAACAUAAUCUUAUAUAUCUAAUAUCUUAAAAAUGUUUUUGCUAUAUAGCAGCAAUGUGUACACCAAUAUAUGUAGCAGUAGGGCCUUCCAGCAUGAGUCCGGAAAUUACUUUAAAAUAAUCUGAACAGCAUAGGAUUGGAUAUAAAAAUUUGUGGUGCUGAUAAAGAGAUUACUCUACCACCACAACUAAAGGCAGCGGUUGCAAAUGAUUUCAGAGUGGAGGUACAACUUUACUACUCAAGGAUAAGGGAAUAUUUCAGGAGGCGUUAGAUAAAUUAUUUAUGAAGAUUACAUGGAUGCUAUGAGCUUUAUAAUUACUUUCCUUCUAGUAACGAGUUUGAAAGUGAUUAAGACAAGAGAGCCAUGACAAUCUGCAUGUGGCGGUGACGACAAGUAUAACUAGGAUGCGUGAAAUGUAAAUCUUUAACUUUUCAGUAUACGCCUGUGUUUAGACGGAAAAUUUUACAUUUAAUUUUAUUGCGAUAUGUUUUAUUUUUAUCUAAG